rnacentral:rRNA from 1 species
CAGUAGCCGCGGUAAUACGUAGGUGGCAAGCGUUGUCCGGAAUUAUUGGGCGUAAAGGGCUCGCAGGCGGUUCCUUGAGUCUGAUGUGAAAGCCCCCGGCUCAACCGGGGAGGGUCAUUGGAAACUGGGAAACUUGAGUGCAGAAGAGGAGAGUGGAAUUCCACGUGUAGCGGUGAAAUGCGUAGAGAUGUGGAGGAACACCAGUGGCGAAGGCGACUCUCUGGUCUGUAACUGACGCUGAGGAGCGAAAGCGUGGGGAGCGAACAGGAUUAGAUACCCCAGUAGUCCCUGUCUCUUAUAC